UUAGAACGUGAUUUGGAGUGUUGGGGUUCAGAUCCUACGUGCUUCCCACUUCGCAAAGUUAUAGCUUUUGCAGAUUCGAAUCCACCUUUUGGAUUGACCACGGUUGAGCUAGGCAACUUGCCUUGCUCUCGAAACUGCCCCAUAAACUCGGCAAUUUGCCCCACUUGCUUCUCCAACUCGUCCACCUUCCUGUCCCUAGUUUGUAUGCCCUGCGCCAUAGAAGUUAGUAAAUUAAAAAUCUGAUCAUUAUCAAUAGAAGAACCUGAUUUUUGGGCUGGUUGUGCUUGG
rnacentral:lncRNA from 1 species